rnacentral:ncRNA from 1 species
AAUUUAUUUGGUUUUGGUAAGAUAAAGGAUGGACAUUAAAACGAGCAUAAAAAAAUUUUAGAAGUUUAUAACUUUAAGUUUUAGGUUAUAGAAUUUAGUCGUGAAUUUUUAUUAAUAAAAACGAAAGUUUGUUUAAGUUGAUGUCAGAAAGGGGCUAAUAGUAGGUGCCAGCAGCUGCGGUUAAACCUAUUCUUAUCUUUAUUUUCGGGUUAAAUACAAAUAAAUUAUGGUUAGUUUGGGAGAAAAUAAAUUAUUUCGGUUAAAUGGUAAUAAUUUUAUUAUUCAAACCCCAAAUAUGUAAAUUGUGAAAAUCACCACAAAAACUAAGAUUAGAUACCUUAUUAUUGGUGAAGGUAAAUAAACAUACCCAGAGUAGUAAGUGUUUUGAAACUCAAAAGACCUGGCGGUGGAUGCUUCCUACCAGAGGAGCGUGCUAGGUAAUAGAUAGUCCGCUAAGUAAUAAACCUUUCUUAUUUUAGUCAGUGUACGGCCGCUUGCAGGUAUUUCUUAUUGGAAACAUAAACUCCCUAUAACAUACUACUAGCUAGUUAAGACAGGUCAAUGUGCUGCUGAUAGAAAGGGUCAGAAGGUUCGCUAUUUUAAUAUUAGGCAAAAGAUAUUACGCUGUAAAGUUUGAUGGAAUUCAGAUUUGGAAGUAACAAGAUAUAAAAUAUGUAUCUGUGAAUAAAAGGUAAAGCUCUGUGUACACAUCGCCCGUCGUUCUUUUCCAACGAAAAGAGAAGUCGUAACAUGGUAGCCUUAAUAGAAAUUGAGGCUUA